rnacentral:rRNA from 1 species
CCUACGGGUGGCUGCAGUAGGGAAUAUUGUUCAAUGGGGGAAACCCUGAAGCAGCAACGCCGCGUGGAGGAUGAAGGUUUUCGGAUUGUAAACUCCUUUUGUUAGAGAAGAUAAUGACGGUAUCUAACGAAUAAGCACCGGCUAACUCCGUGCCAGCCGCCGCGGUAAUAAGGAGGGUGCAGGCGUUAAUCGGAAUCACUGGGCGUAAAGAGCGGGGAGGCGGGAUAGCAAGUCAGAUGUGAAAUCCUAUGGCUUAACCAGAGAACUGCAGUUGAAACUGUAAUUCUAGAGUAUGGGAGAGGUAGGUGGAAUUCUUGGUGUAGCGGGAAAAUCCGUAGAGAUCAAGAGGAAUACUCAUUGCGAAGGCGACCUGCUAGA